rnacentral:lncRNA from 1 species
UUUCUCUAUCAAUCAUCUGCACUCUCCUCCUUCUCUCUACUCUCUUCUUUCUCUCUCUAGAUAACUCCAUCGUCCCACCGUGUUAAUGUUAAGACCGUAUGUUGCCGCCGGCGUUCGUGGCCGCGUCGUCGUGCGUACAUAAUUUUGCUUCAAAAGUCGUUCACACCGUGGCAACAUGUUUUGACUGUUAAUCUACCGCUGGUAUCUUUGUCGGUGUGUUUGCCGGUGACUUUGUCGGUAAGACAGUCGGUGUUAUUGUAGGCGGUUUUGUGCAUAUGAGGGUUGUACCCAUAUUUUUAUGGAUUGUACCAACCUUUGGGUUUAAAACCCCAUUUCUUUAUCCGUCGAUAUGCGGGUGACUUUGUGGGCGACUUUGUUGUCACCACCACUGGUGUUGUUGUGGAUGGCUUCUCCAUUGGCUUUGAUGUGGCUAAAUCAUUUUGGGUUUAAAAUUCGAGGUCGGUGAAGCACCGCCAUGGUGACACCGUCCGAUGCCGGUACUGGUGAAGUUUUCGCGUCGGUUCCGAUGAAUUUGGCAGUCAUACAUUGAAAAUUUUUAGUUGAAUUCCAACAAAUUGAAAAUUUUUAAGCUGAAUUCCAACAAGCCUAACUUUUCGGAUUUGAUUUUGAUCUUGGUUUGCCUUUUUAUUUUUCACUUUUUGUUUGGCGAUUAAGCAGAUGGUGAGGAGGGUUGUGGUGGACUGGUGGUAGCGGUAGCUGUUGUCGUGUGGUAGUCUUCAAACCUUACAAACGGUUAAAACAUUUCCUUUUUUUACAAGUAGAGUCCCACAUGGAGACGUCUGAAAAUGAGAUAAACCAUAGAUAAUUGAGUUGAUGGCAGUCAUGGACUUAAAAAAACUUCUAAAAAAUUGCUUAGUAGAUACAUUAAAAAGCGUGUUAAAUGUCCAGAAAAUUGAUGCAUUGAUGGACAAAAAUAAAGAACUUUUUAGAAAGAGUAAGGAGAAAGUGGUAUGUUUGUAACAGUGAAAUAUGGAUGGCACAUGGUUUUUGUUACUUUACCAUUUAGUCUGACCACAUUAAAUUAAUUUGACAUAUUGGCGUUUGUUUUCAUGAAUUACAAUUUUACGAUGAUGACAUUUAAAUUAAAAUUAAACUGUAUCAGAAAUUAUAAUUUCACAUAUGUUUGCUUUGUGACUUUAGACAAAACCACAUUAACUUAUUCUCUUUCUAUGAUCUAUUGAAAAAGAUAAUACUUUUCUCAAAAGUAGUAACAUUAUUAUUACUAUUAUAAAAUUCAAAGACACGACGCACAACAACGAAGUAGUGAUGAGGAAGAUGAUCUGACUGCGACAUAGGCUUUGCUGCAAAAAGUAAGAUUAAUUUAUUUAUUUUAGUUAUAUGUUUUUUAAUAUACAUAAGCGCGGGCUCAUCGCAAUCCUAAUUAAUUAAAUCCAUCAAUUAUCAUUGUCGUCAUGUGUCUUGCAUAUGUGGAUCCAUGCCGCAACGCGCGGGUGGUAAAUUAACUAUUAGUUUUGUUUCCAGUCAGUUGGAAGCGAGAUCUUUUUAGUGAGUUGUUUCAUGUUUGAGUUGUUGGUUAUUAGUUUUAUUUUAAGGCCUUGAAAGGGUAUUUUUGUGAUUUCAUUAAAAUGUUUAUUUUUGUUGAUUCUCCUUCAGGCUCUGCAUAGGAGCCUAAUGUACUGAUGUGUAGAUUUCAUGGUGUGUAUAAAAAGUUGAGUGAGGUUUUGGAUCGAUUAGUGUAUAAAAAACUUAGAAUCACAAAAGAAGUUCAAGAGUAAGUAAAUACUUGAUGUAGUAGCGGAGAUUAAAUGCUCAUAUGUCAAAUUUAGGGGCACCAUUUUUGUAUAUGUGAUUUGCAGAUGCGACUGUAGAAAAAAAAAGAACUUAUGUAAAAAUACUGUGUACCCGGCCGCAACGCGACGGGUACUUUUCUAGUUAUUUAUAAAGGUCACUCAUCUGUCUAUCACACAAAAUAUUUAUAAAGGUUAUCAUCUAGAAAUCUGAGUUGUCAGUCGACU